rnacentral:rRNA from 1 species
UAAUACGGAGGAUGCAAGCGUUAUCCGGAUUUAUUGGGUUUAAAGGGUGCGUAGGCUGUCUGUCAAGUCAGAGGUGAAAUACCUGAGCCUAACUCAGGAACUGCCUUUGAUACUGGCAGGCUGGAAUACGGAUACCGUGGGAGGAAUGAGUAGUGUAGCGGUGAAAUGCAUAGAUAUUACUCAGAACACCGAUUGCGAAGGCAUCUCACGAAUCCGUCAUUGACGCUGAGGCACGAAAGCGUGGGGAUCAAACAGGAUUAGAUACCCUGGUAGUCCACGCAGUAAACGAUGAUAACUAACCGUCGGCGAUACACAGUCGGUGGCCAAGCGAAAGCGAUAAGUUAUCCACCUGGGGAGUACGUUCGCAAGAAUGAAACUCAAAGGGGAAUUGACGGGGGCCCGCACAAGCGGAGGAACAUGUGGUUUAAUUCGAUGAUACGCGAGGAACCUUACCCGGGCUCGAACGGUACAGGAAGAGAUCCAGAGAUGGUGACGUCCUUCGGGACCUGUAUCGAGGUGCUGCAUGGUUGUCGUCAGCUCGUGCCGUGAGGUGUCGGCUUAAGUGCCAUAACGAGCGCA